AUUGAACGCUGGCGGCAGGCCUAACACAUGCAAGUCGAGCGAGAGGCGGGCGGGUGAGAAAUGUCUGGGAAAAUGCGUGAUGGAGGGGGAGAAAAAUUGGAAACGGUAGCGAAUACCGCUUACCCUCAGAUGUGCGCAGAGGGGAUUAGCUAGUAGGUGGGGUAACGGCGCACCUAGGCGACGAUCCCUAGCUGGGCUGAGAGGAUGACCAGCCACACUGGAACUGAGACACGGUCCAGAAUCCUACGGGAGGCAGCAGUGGGGAAUAUUGCACAAUGGGCGCAAGCCUGAUGCAGCCAUGCCGCGUGUGUGAAGAAGGCCUUCGGGUUGUAAAGCACUUUCAGCGGGGAGGCGUUACCCGCAGAAGAAGCACCGGCUAACUCCGUGCCAGCAGCCGCGGUAAUAC
rnacentral:rRNA from 1 species